AACGAACGCUGGCGGCGCGCCUAACACAUGCAAGUCGCACGAGAAAGGGCUUCGGCCCCGGUAAAGUGGCGCACGGGUGAGUAACACGUGGGUAACCUGCCCUUGAGCGGGGGAUAACAUUCCGAAAGGAGUGCUAAUACCGCAUGAGACCACGCUCUCGAAAGAGAGAGGGGUAAAAGCUGGCCUCUGUACACAAGCUAGCACUCGAGGAUGGGCCCGCGGGGCAUCAGGUAGUUGGUAGGGUAACGGCCUACCAAGCCUAAGACGCCUAGCUGGUCUGAGAGGAUGAUCAGCCACACUGGAACUGAGACACGGUCCAGACUCCUACGGAGGCAGCAGUGGGGAAUCUUGCGCAAUGGGCGAAAGCCUGACGCAGCGACGCCGCGUGAGUGAUGAAGGCCUCGGUUGUAAAGGCUACUGUUGGGAGGAGACGAAUAAGUAGCGGGCGUAAGUACUACCGCACUGAUGACGGUAUCUCCUUAG
rnacentral:rRNA from 1 species